rnacentral:misc_RNA from 1 species
AUUAAAAAUGUUGAUGGAGUAAUCGUUACUGGGAACAGCAUCGGAGAGAUCCACUUCUACGACUGUCAGAUGAAGCUGUUGUACUGGGUGCACGGUUUUACGGUGGACAGCGUCAAAGGGCUUAGUUUCAACAUUUCACCGAGAAGUUAUGAAAUAUUUGACCCAAAAUGUUAGUUUUCAAAAUUUGUCUAUUAUAUUGAGGUUCUGGUAAAUAGCUUA